CCAUACCUGGUUGGUGAUGUAGUCGUCGCUCCUCAAGUGGCCGCGCGUUGGACAAUGACGAACUCACUUGGCUGGCCAAGUGCUAAAUUCUGGAACGUCAUGAACGCAAUCUACGACUACGAUGCAGUAGGCUUUAGCACGCAUCGUGUGUGCAGCGCCCGGCACCCGGCGAUCUAGUAAACAGUGACAGUGGCGUUGGCAAUAAACCUCUUUGUGUUGCGAUUCGUUUAUAUAAAUAAAACGCCCAAUCGCUCUAGGUGGUGCAAUCCAGGAACUGUUUUACUUCAAUUACAAAAUCGUCGUGGAGUAAAGAGACUGGCCGCUGGACCAUUGGCAGCUUCGCGGGCUUUCCACUGCAUCGGCCAUCUUUCCGAUUAAAGUACAACGUGUGCCACGUGUGCCACUAGAUUGUGCCGCAUUAUUGUGAACCCACCCGCACGCCCCCACACCCACACGAGUUCUAACCGGUUCGAACCGAGAAAAGCUGAAACAUCUGUGUCAAUACACGACGGGACGGGAGCAAAGCCAGAACGCGUGGAUGGCUGCCAAUGCAGCAUUGGUCGGCCCUUCUCCGCCUCCCGAAAGCCGUCGGUGAAAUCGUCGUUCAGUCUUUUCACCGCUUUUGCUCCGCUCGUGAUGCUGCACGAAGCUGCGAGCCUCCUACACGAAGCGAAUAGCUGGCUGUGUCGACGUGCUGGCAGCUAGCCAAGUGAAGUGGGCAACCCUCUGCCAAAAACCUCUGCAGCUCGGGGUGUGAGGUGCGAUUAGAGCAAUAAAUGUGGACGAGUGCUGCUGAUGCUGCUGAUGCUGCUAGCACAAGGUA